rnacentral:rRNA from 1 species
CCUACGGGAGGCAGCAGUGAGGAAUAUUGGUCAAUGGACGAGAGUCUGAACCAGCCAAGUAGCGUGAAGGAUGACUGCCCUAUGGGUUGUAAACUUCUUUUAUCAAGGAAUAAAACGAGGCACGUGUGCCUUUUUGCAUGUACUUUAUGAAUAAGGAUCGACUAACUCCGUGCCAGCAGCCGGGGGAAGACGGAGGAACCGAGCGUUGUCCGGAUUUAUUGGGUUUAAAGGGAGCGUAGAUGGGUUGUUAAGUCAGUCGUGAAAGUUUGCGGCUCAACCGUAAUAUUGCAAUUGAUACUGUCAGUCUUGAGUACAGUUGAGGUAUGCGGAAUUCGUGGUGUAGCGGUGAAAUGCUUAGAUAUCACGAAGAACUCCGAUUGCGAAGGCAGCUUACUAACCUGUGACUGACAUUGAUGCUCGAAAGUGUGGGUAUCAAACAGGAUUAGAUACCCGAGUAGUC